rnacentral:rRNA from 1 species
UACGGAGGGUGCAAGCGUUAUCCGGAUUUACUGGGUUUAAAGGGUGUGUAGGCGGGCUAUUAAGUCAGUGGUGAAAUCUCCGGGCUCAACCUGGAAACUGCCAUUGAUACUAUUAGUCUUGAAUUUUGUUGAGGUAGGCGGAAUAGGUCAUGUAGCGGUGAAAUGCAUAGAUAUGACUUAGAACACCAAUUGCGAAGGCAGCUUGCUAAACAAAUAUUGACGCUGAGGCACGGAAGCGUGGGGAUCAAACAGG